UAAUAAUCACAUGCUGCCUGUGCUAUUUGCUCCUGACCUUGUAUCCAUUCCUCAUUAUCAUUAUAAAUCUUAUGCAAAAAUAACCUCCUUCUUCUACCUCUCAUCAAAGCAUGAAAAUAUUUGGUAUUGGCAUCACCAUCCUUAAACCAUUGUAAUUGAGUCUUUUGUUUAAAGAUAGAUUCUUCCAUUUUCAAAUAUCUAAUAUAAUUUG
rnacentral:lncRNA from 1 species